rnacentral:rRNA from 1 species
GUGGGGAAUUUUGGACAAUGGGCGCAAGCCUGAUCCAGCAAUGCCGCGUGCAGGAAGAAGGCCUUCGGGUUGUAAACUGCUUUUGUACGGAACGAAACGGUCCGGGUUAAUACCCUGGGCUAAUGACGGUACCGUAAGAAUAAGCACCGGCUAACUACGUGCCAGCAGCCGCGGUAAUACGUAGGGUGCAAGCGUUAAUCGGAAUUACUGGGCGUAAAGCGUGCGCAGGCGGUUUUGUAAGACAGGAGUGAAAUCCCCGGGCUCAACCUGGGAAUUGCGCUUGUGACUGCAAGGCUGGAGUGCGGCAGAGGGGGAUGGAAUUCCGCGUGUAGCAGUGAAAUGCGUAGAUAUGCGAAGGAACACCGAUGGCGAAGGCAAUCCCCUGGGCCUGCACUGACGCUCAUGCACGAAAGCGUGGGGAGCAAACAGGAUUAGAAACCCUUGUAGUCC